rnacentral:rRNA from 1 species
GACGUAGGGCGCGAGCGUUGUCCGGAUUUAUUGGGCGUAAAGAGCUCGUAGGCGGCUCAUUGCGUCAACCGUGAAAACCUGCCACUCAACGGUAGGCUUGCGGUUGAUACGGGUGGGCUGGAGUUCGGUAGGGGAGACUGGAAUUCCUGGUGUAGCGGUGAAAUGCGCAGAUAUCAGGAGGAACACCGGUGGCGAAGGCGGGUCUCUGGGCCGAUACUGACGCUGAGGAGCGAAAGCGUGGGGAGCGAACAGG